GCCCCUGUAGCUCAACGGUUAGAGCAGCAGACUCAUAAUCUGUUGGCUGUAGGUUCGAAUCCUACCGGGGGCACCA
rnacentral:tRNA from 1 species